rnacentral:rRNA from 1 species
GGGGAACCCUGACCGAGCAACGCCGCGUGAGUGAAGAAGGUUUUCGGAUCGUAAAGCUCUGUUGUAAGAGAAGAACGAGUGUGAGAGUGGAAAGUUCACACUGUGACGGUAACUUACCAGAAAGGGACGGCUAACUACGUGCCAGCAGCCGCGGUAAUACGUAGGUCCCGAGCGUUGUCCGGAUUUAUUGGGCGUAAAGCGAGCGCAGGCGGUUAGAUAAGUCUGAAGUUAAAGGCUGUGGCUUAACCAUAGUACGCUUUGGAAACUGUUUAACUUGAGUGCAGAAGGGGAGAGUGGAAUUCCAUGUGUAGCGGUGAAAUGCGUAGAUAUAUGGAGGAACACCGGUGGCGAAAGCGGCUCUCUGGUCUGUAACUGACGCUGAGGCUCGAAAGCGUGGGGAGCAACGGAUUAGAUACCCUGGUAGUCCACGCCGUAAACGAUGAGUGCUAGGUGUUGGGUCCUUUCCGGACUCAGUGCCGCAGCUAACGCAUUAAGCACUCGCCUGGGGAGUACGACGCA